CAGUAAAGACAUGAGGUAUCUCUAUUUUAAUCUGACCUGCAACAUUACACAAUUAAUCAUCUUUAAAGGGCAAUACCUUACUCAGAUAAUGGCGUGCAUCACCUUCACCAACAAAUCCCAUCCUUUCUGAUCUUUAGCUCAGUAACAGCUGAAGCCGACACUCAAGCAUGUGUUAGUAAAAGUACUUCUGCCCAGCCACGUCUAUUUUGAGAUCAAAAAUGAAAACAUUUGAUAAUUCUGACCUGGAAACAGUUUUUGCCUCUAAUAUUGAAACUGCAAAGCAAAAAUCGUUUUAACAUUAGGUUGUAUCAUCAGAAAUACUUGCCCAGUUAAAACCAAGAAGUAAUUGCAUGUCUUUUGUGGGCAUCAUUUGAUAUAAAUCAUUUUGCAGGUUCAUAAACAAUGUUUCAAGGGUUUAUUAAAUAAAAUCACACGCUACUAUCACAGAGCUAGUCUCGCUGACUGUUAACACUUUUUUUUUUGUUUUACACAUCUUAAGUGUGCCUUAAUAGGCAAAACUGAACUGUUAAGGCAUGUCAUUAAAAGAGAAGAAAGAAAAGAAAAGGAAAAUCAAACCUGAAACCCAACAGAGAAAGGGAAAAGGGUUAGGGAUAUAUACAUUAUUUACAUGGCAGCCAGAGAUGAAGUGUAGUUAAGCCAUGUCAGUGUGUGUGUAUUCAACAAUUCAUUUUUUGGAUGUGUGUGUAUGCAGGUGUAUUUCAGUUAUUAAUAAUGUGUGCACGGUGUUUUAACCCUGGCUGCACUCGAGCAGAACUAUUCUGUGCAUGUUUGAGAUCUCAUAGUUCUCUGUUCCAGCAUUCACAGUUCACUCCCUCCUCCUAGCAAGGAAACAUGUUCCUCUGAGUAGUCCGAAUACGGUGCAAUGAAGCUGCAGCCCUCCACUUCCUUCUGGGCUUUUAGUUCUUGUCAUGCAGUCAUCAUUUCAUGUGCUGUUUGAAAUUCCUGACCUUGGGAUCUUUCUCUGAAGGAUGAGGACAGGAAUUAAGGGGAGAUGGAGAUGCAACACGAAGCACUGGAGAGCCUCCGUCUUCAUCUGAAGAUCUGGAACAGCAAAG